AUCGCUUCUCGGCCUUUUGGCUAAGAUCAAGUGUAGUAUCUGUUCUUAUCAGUGCUAUAGAUGGGGCACUGAUGUAGGAUGGAUGCUGCAUGGAGGGGGCAGGUGUAACGGGGGCUGGUUCUGAGGAAUCAGCUCGACGGCUGUCCCGAUGUGACCUGUUUCCUUCUGGGUCUCGCCAUGAGGCUUA